AUUUAGGUUAAAAAAAAAAAAAAAGUAAAUAACAGACUGAUCUAAAACGCACCUAAGCUACCCGGAUACGGAACAAGAUGUGAAAAAAGUGAAGAGCUGGUUGGUCCGCAGCUGAAAGCCACGCCCCCGGCCGACAGCGGACUUCCGAAGUAAGGAGAAACGCUGACACUUCGUGGCCUGAAGAGCAGAGCUCAUGGAGGGGUGUUGUCUGAGUCUGUUCGUGUGUCAGUUACAGGUGAAAAAGAAGGUCUAUCACAGUGGAGGGUGCGCCAGCCACGUUAGCUGAAAAUCAGGACUUACUGGAAUUUUAAAAUAAGACCCUGAUGUCUCUCAUUGCUUUGUCCAUUAUGUGAUGCAGAAUGAAAAUCUUUAUGUCUGGAUUUCUGAGGGAGACACUGUGAAGAGUGUCGUGGAUAGUUUGUCUAAUUGUUUAUUAAAUAUGCACCAAUUCUGUGACUCAUCCUUAUUUUAUGAAACUAUCAAGAGAAAUAAAAGCCAAUGAAUAUAAUGAUAUUUGUCGGUGCUUAUUGGAAGAGUUUAAAAAGAUCUGCUCUUCCUUUAUCUCCAAUUCAAACAUUUCUAGAAAUAAAGGGAAAGUCUGCCAAAUAGUCAGUAAUCAAAGCAACAAACGACAGUGUGAUUUGUGUCUUCUCCCCCACGUCCCACUGCAGGAUCAUGACCUCACAGAAUGCACAUUUCCAUCGUCUGUCAUCACCAUCCUUUUGAUACUCGGAUUGUCCUGUGUGUAGCCAGUGGGACCCACCCCCUCACCCCCAAGGAUGGCUUCCUGUCCUGCCCGCACAGCCCCUAUUGUCUUCAAGAGCAUCCUCACAAAGGUAGAAUUUCGUUCAGUGUCAGAAGGAAAUGAGAGAGGGCUUUCCAGACUCCUGCAAGCACAACCCCAGAGCCUGUCCCACACCAUUCGGGUCCAGCUCUGCCUGCAGGAGCAGAGAAGGCUGAGAAGGAGGCUGGCUCCCAGCACCGGCUAAGUCUGUGUCAGAGAUGGAGCUACUCAGUCUGUUGACUUGGCUUCCCCCAACCUGGUUUUCAGCACACAUGGAACCAAAUGAUCAUGCAGGAGAAGCAGAGACAAGGACCCAGAGAGUCCUGAGCCCUCUGACUGUCCUCCAAGGACAGAAAUCCACACAGACUCUGCCUCUGUCCUCCACGAGAGCGGACAGUGCUCACAGGAUUGACGGGUGGCACAAGGUCACAGUCCUACCUCCGCCAUGAAGCUCCAGUGGAAAUAUAAUGACCUUCCUGGUGUCACUAUGAGGUUGCAGUGCUGUGUACCGAGAUGUGCUUUCACAGAUGACCAAGGUCAGAUGUGACUCAUAGACAUCCUAACAGAAAAUAAAUCUGAUUCAAUGAAACGAUUGCUAUUUGAAUUCUCAAAGGCAUUUCUUUUCUUCUUUCACACUAUUUAUU